UACGGAGGGAGCUAGCGUUGUUCGGAAUUACUGGGCGUAAAGCGCACGUAGGCGGCUAUUCAAGUCGGGGGUGAAAGCCCGGGGCUCAACCCCGGAACUGCCCUCGAAACUAGAUAGCUAGAAUCUUGGAGAGGCGAGUGGAAUUCCGAGUGUAGAGGUGAAAUUCGUAGAUAUUCGGAAGAACACCAGUGGCGAAGGCGACUCGCUGGACAAGUAUUGACGCUGAGGUGCGAAAGCGUGGGGAGCAACCAGG
rnacentral:rRNA from 1 species